GACGGCUUUGACCUUUGAACUGUUAUAUUAUUGGUCGACAUACAGGGAGAAACAGGUGUAAAUUAUUAGCAGGAAAAGCGAGAGGAAACUUGAAAUGACGGCAUCCUCGAUGGUUCCAAUUUCCAGCCUAUUCCUCAAUUUUCAACCUCAGUGACAGACAACAUAGACAGGAAUGGCUGUUUAGCAAAAAAGGGAAAUGCAAUGAGGCAGCGGAGAUUGUCCCCCAUUGGUCCCAGGGUCCCCGUGGGUUAGGCCCACCCUACAGUCAUGCCCCGAGAAACAGAGCCUGAUGAGGAGCACAAGGCCGCGAAGGCUUUCCCUGAAUGCUCAGGGGAGCACACACUUGCAGAACCACACAGGCAAGUGCAAACACUCACAAAGGCAAGUGGGCACACGUACAAUAAGCUAGACAUGUACAGUGUACACAAAGAAGGAGCAUUUACUCCUAAUACUGGCUAAAUAUCAAAAAACACAGUAAACCACACAAACACAGACCUGCUGGUCCUUUUUGGCAAAACCUCAUGCAGUUCACAUCAAAGGGAUAACUGUAGUGUCAGAAAUAUAGACCUUUUACCAAAUCAAUAUUUUUUCAUUUUUUUGUUCAUGUUUAUUAUUUACUUGUCCACAUUUCAUAGUUAUGUUUAUUUUUGGACCAGCAAUAUUUUAGCUUUGUUUAUUUUGCUCUUUGAAAUGCAUUUAAAAAAAUCGAUCAAUAAAGAAAUAAAAAAAUAAACAUUUUGUCUGGCUUUUAAGAAUGAUUAAAUUAGUACACUUGUAAUAAGGGCCAAACAAUGUUUAGAAAUAUUCCAAAGCCUAUUAAUGGGCUUCAGCCUGUUAGCAAAUAAAGAAAUUCCUUCCGCUCCAGCUGGAGUUGUGUGCAGUUAUGGUUAUUAUAAAUAAAGUUUAGCCUCAAACACAAAAGGGUUUAUACACAUAUACUCCUCGUGUGUCUGAAGAUGCAUAACCAGUACAUAAACAGUAAAAUCUACCCAACCCAAGAGGCCUUCAGCUCUGAUCUGUUUGCUUGGCUGCUGAACAGAACAAGAUUUAUAUAAAAAUAAAAAGAUGAACAAAAGAAUAAAUAAACAAAUGCAUAAAUUCCACCUUGUCCAGCAGGAAUUGUGAGCAAUUAUGGCUAAUAUAAAUAAAGCUUGGCCUCAAAUGCAAAAGGGGUUAACACAGAUAUACUCCUCGUGUUUUCAAGGAUACAUAAACCCUAUCGUAACGGUAUUCGGCCCAAAACAAAAGGCCUUUGGCUCUUAUCUUUUUGCUCAGCUGCUGGACAGGACAAGAUCUAAUAAAUAAAUUAAGAAAUAAAGAUUUAAAAAUUCUAGCAGAAAUUGUGGUUUAUCCAAAUUACAUUUUAACUUGGCAAACUUCAGGAUUUAUUUCUUAUAAAAAUGAAUAGCUUUUUCAUUUUUUUGGCUAAAUGGGUUUUCUUAGACUAGCCUUACAGGGACCAUGACAUUGGCGUGCAUCCUAGACACCAGCCACUCUCAUUUUGGGUAACCCAUAGUGGUUCUGUGAAUAAACUGGGAAAAAAGAAACUUUUAUUAUAAAUGCUGUCAAAUUUUGUCACCCUCAGCACAUUGCUUUUAAUUGUACCUCCAGGCCUUGAUAGAAGCACAAAAUGUGUUCACCUCGGUGGGACCAAUUUUUGAGUUUCUUCAAAGAUGAUACAGUGCAGAAUAAAAAAAAAAAAAAAAAAGUCAUCUGGUAUUGACACAAAAAGGCCUUCUUCUGCUUAGCACUAACUAGCUUUUUAUGAGUAAACCUCUCACCUCUGAGUUGGCUAACUAGCCAUCGCUCCUGCCUACUGGCAACACACCUGCCCCAACUGCACUUGGAGGCAAACACCGGCCUCAGGAGAAUACACACCCCAAAACACACACAACUGCACACAAGUGCGUACUUAAACCAAAUA